UAGGGAAUCUUCGGCAAUGGCCGGAAGUCUGACCGAGCAACGCCGCGUGAGUGAAGAAGGUUUUCGGAUCGUAAAGCUCUGUUGUUAGAGAAGAACGUUGGUGGGAGUGGAAAAUCUACCAAGUGACGGUAACUAACCAGAAAGGGACGGCUAACUACGUGCCAGCAGCCGCGGUAAUACGUAGGUCCCGAGCGUUGUCCGGAUUUAUUGGGCGUAAAGCGAGCGCAGGCGGUUCUUUAAGUCUGAAGUUAAAGGCAGUGGCUUAACCAUUGUACGGUUUGGAAACUGGAGGACUUGAGUGCAGAAGGGGAGAGUGGAAUUCCAUGUGUAGCGGUGAAAUGCGUAGAUAUAUGGAGGAACACCGGUGGCGAAAGCGGCUCUCUGGUCUGUAACUGACGCUGAGGCUCGAAAGCGUGGGGAGCAAACAGG
rnacentral:rRNA from 1 species